AGAGCCCGCCCAGCCCCAUCUCCGCCACCCUUGGCCCGGUCCACUCGUAGAGGCCCAGCCAUUUUGCGGUUGGUUAGACCUCCAACCUGCCUCGCAAGCUCAUGUUUCAACUAUUCUUUUAUCCUUCUUUAGUUAUUUGUUUCUUCUUUAGUUUGGGUUUGCAUUUCGUUUCUUUUUUCUUCCUUUGCGAGCGAGAGAGUGGAUGAUGCAUGUAAACUGGAGAAGCCGAUUGUUCUUUUCUUUUCUUUUUUUCACAAUGUGAAGAAUACAUUCUUAAUUUUUGAUUGCUGGAAUUUUUUUGUGAUAGUUCUCUCAACAGCAGAUGUGCUGGAUAAAAUUG
rnacentral:lncRNA from 1 species